GAUGAACGCUGGCGGCGUGCCUAACACAUGCAAGUCGAACGGAAAGGCCCUGCUUUUGUGGGGUGCUCGAUUGGCGAACGGGUGAGUAACACGCGAGUAACCUGCCCUUGUCUUUCGGAUAACUUCACGAAACUGGGGCUAAUAUCGGAUAGGAUCUCCUGCAGCAUGGUGGGGGUGGGAAAGUUUCGGCGUUUGUGGAUGGACUAGCGGCUUAUCAGCUUGUUGGUGGGGUAGUGGCUUACCAAGGGUUUGACGGGUAGCCGGCCUGAGAGGGGGAACGGCCACAAUGGGACUGAGGGACGGAGCAGACUGGAACGGUAGGCAACAGUGGGAAGUAUGGCACAGUGGGCGGGAGCGUGAGGCGGAGGCGCUGCGUUCGGAAAGACGGCCUUCGGGUUAAGAACAGCUGUAGCCUGAGACGAAGCGUGAGUGACGGUACUGAAUAAAGAAGCACCGGCUAACUACGUG
rnacentral:rRNA from 1 species